rnacentral:rRNA from 1 species
GGCGGCGUGCUUAACACAUGUAAGUCGAGUGCGCGUUUCCGUAGCAAUACGGAAAUGGCGCACGGCGCACGGGUGCGUAACACGUGGGCAUUCUGCCCUCCGAUGGGGAAUAACCUCGCGAAAGCGAGGCUAAUUCCGCAUAACAUUCCGAUAACUAACGUUGUUGGAUUCAAAGCCGUAAGGCGUCGAAGGAGGAGCCCGCGCACGAUUAGCUAGUUGGUGAGGUAAUGGCUCACCAAGGCUAUGAUCGUUAGCUGGUCUGAGAGGAUGGCCAGCCACACUGGAACUGAGACACGGUCCAUACUUCUACUUGAGGCAGCAGUGGGGAAUCUUGCACAAUGGGCGAAAGCCUGAUGCAA